GAUGAAGAACGCAGCGAAAUGCGAUAAGUAAUGUGAAUUGCAGAAUUCAGUGAACCAUCGAAUCUUUGAACGCACAUUGCGCCCGGCAGUAAUCUGCCGGGCAUGCCUGUCCGAGCGUCAUUUCUGCCCUCGAGCAAGUUCCAGCAUCUAGGUGCUGGUGCUCGCCCGGCGUUGGGGCACUACGGUAGAGCCCUGUGCUGUCCGUAGGCCCUGAAAUGAAGUGGCGGUCCUGCCGCGGCGCCCCCUGCGUAGUAGUUCUGCUCGCAUCGGGUCCCGGCGGAGGCCAGCCGUCAAACCCCCCAAUUCUUACAAGGUUUGACCUCGGAUCAGGUAGGGUUACCCGCUGAACUUAAGCAUAUCAAUAAGCGGAGGA
rnacentral:misc_RNA from 1 species